UGGGCGUAAGCGCGCGCAGGCGGUUUCUUAAGUCUGAUGUGAAAGCCCACGGCUCAACCGUGGAGGGUCAUUGGAAACUGGGGAACUUGAGUGCAGAAGAGAAAAGCGGAAUUCCACGUGUAGCGGUGAAAUGCGUAGAGAUGUGGAGGAACACCAGUGGCGAAGGCGGCUUUUUGGUCUGUAUCUGACGCUGAGGCGCGAAAGCGUGGGGAGCAAACAGGAUUAGAUACCCUGGUUGUCCACCCCGUACACCAUGAGUGCUAAGUGUUAAAGGGUUUCCGCCC
rnacentral:rRNA from 1 species